UGAGGAAUAUUGGUCAAUGGGCGGGAGCCUGAACCAGCCAAGUAGCGUGCAGGAUGACGGCCCUAUGGGUUGUAAACUGCUUUUGCGCGGGGAUAAAGUGCGCCACGUGUGGCUCAUUGCAGGUACCGCGCGAAUAAGGACCGGCUAAUUCCGUGCCAGCAGCCGCGGUAAUACGGAAGGUCCGGGCGUUAUCCGGAUUUAUUGGGUUUAAAGGGAGCGUAGGCCGGAGAUUAAGCGUGUUGUGAAAUGUAGUGGCUCAACCUCUGCACUGCAGCGCGAACUGGUCUUCUUGAGUACGCACAACGUGGGCGGAAUUCGUGGUGUAGCGGUGAAAUGCUUAGAUAUCACGAAGAACUCCGAUUGCGAAGGCAGCUCACGGGAGCGCAACUGACGCUGAAGCUCGAAAGUGCGGGUAUCGAGCAGGAUUAGAUACCCUGGUAGU
rnacentral:rRNA from 1 species